rnacentral:rRNA from 1 species
UACGGGGGGGGCAAGCGUUGUUCGGAAUUACUGGGCGUAAAGGGCCAGUAGGCGGCCAACUAAGUCGGAUGUGAAAUCCCCAGGCUCAACUUGGGAACUGCAUCCGAUACUGGAUGGCUUGAAUUCGGGAGAGGGAUGCAGAAUUCCAGGUGUAGCGGUGAAAUGCGUAGAUAUCUGGAGGAACACCGGUGGCGAAGGCGGCAUUCUGGACCAAUACUGACGCUGAGGAGCGAAAGCCAGGGGAGCAAACGGG